rnacentral:lncRNA from 1 species
UUUAUUCUUUUUCUUUAAGACUGUUUAUUGCUUUGGUUACCCAGGCUAGCCUCAAACUCCUGGCCUCAAGCUAUCCUGCCUCAGCCUCCCAAAGUGCUGAGAUUACAGGCCUGAGUCACUACGCCCGGGCUCAAGUUCUUACUGUUGGUAAAUGGCAGAGGUGAGACUGAAUAACCAGGUCCAAUGGAUUGUUUUUUUUCUUAGAAAAUACCAUCAUGCCUUGCUAUCAAAUAUCAAACUACCUUGGCUUUUUGAGUCGUUGGAGUUAUUACAUAAGCAGUCCCUACUUCUGUAAUUAACUUCCUUGUGGGUAAGAUACUGCUUCUCCAAUACGCCCCCAAAUUAGGGUACAGAUUUCUUCUACUGUAACAAAGACCAAAAUAUAAUGUAUACAAGAUAGUUUAUUAUUAACAGAACAUAAGCAUGCUGGGGCUGAUAGGCCGACUCCUCUCUCAACUUCUGUUGGUUGCUCUUCUCUCCUCAGGAACCUGUGUGUUCCCUCUCAUAGUCCAAGAUGGCUGAUUUAGUUCUUGCCAACAUACCUGUAUCCAAACCAUCUAAAGGAAUAAAGAGCUGGCACUGUAGCUUAUGCCUGUAAUCCCAGCUAUUCCGGAGGCUGAGGUAGGAGGAUCACGAGGCCAGGAGUUCAAGACCAGCCUGAGCAAGAUGGCAAGACCCUGUCUCUUAAAAAAAAAAGAGAGAGGGACAAAGGGAGACUGUGACCACUUCUUUUAAGAGCAUGAUCUGCAAGAGGUACACAUUUUACUUUUGCUCAUGUCCAGAACUUAGCUACAUAGCCUGAGCUAGCUGCAAGAGAGAACUGAAUAUGUCAUCUGUAGCUGUAUGGCUAUGUGUAUACAUAAACUCCAGCCACCCUGAUACACAAUGAGAGGGUGAAUAUUGGAGGACAGUCAGGAGUCUGCCACAAGACCCAAGAAAUAAGUAGUUACCCUAUGGCCUACUGACAGUGUCUUCAAAGCAAGGACCUGGUAGCUUUUCCAUCACACAAUAAAAAUCCAGAGUCAUCACAGACUUCAGGGUUCCUACUUAUUAACCCUGUCUGCCCCAUCUGAAGUAGCACCCCUGCCCCACUCUGCUGUCUUACUAUGCAUUCUUUUUCUUCAUAACCUUUGUCUCUACUUAACCAUGAUAUAUUUUGUCUUCUCCAUUAAAAUAUAAGUUCUCUGAAGACAGAGACUUGGUUGUGUUGAUUGCUUCCAGCCCAGAGCCUAGAAAAAUGCUGAGUACGUAGUAAGGACUCAGUAACUGUAGCAUGAAAGAAUGAAUGCUCUUUCUCCCAACACCGACAGUGAUUUGAGCAUAUUCCAUUAUUCAUUUAAUCCUUAUUUACCUGUACUGUAAGCAAAGCACUAUACUACAUAGUUUGAGGAAUGAAAAAUAUGGCCUGCAUCUUAUUCCACUCUGAAGAAAAUCUACCAAGUGCUAUAAAGUGGAUCACAAAGACACAAGACAAAUUUCAAAGUGCUGUAAAUGACAGAUUGAACACUACUGGAAUUGAGAGGGAUUGGGAUCUACCUGGCAUCUGGAAGGCUUCCUGAAGUUAUAAAAUGAGCUUUAGAAAAUGGAUAUUCUGGCUGGGCGCGGUGACUCACGCCUGUAAUCCCAGCACCUUGGGAGGCCGAGGCGGGCAGAUCACCUGAUGUCGGGAGUUCAAGACCAGCCUGACCAACAUGUAGAAACCCCGUCUCUACUAAAAAUACAAAAUUAGCAGGGCUUGGUGGCGCAUGCCUGUAAUCCCAGCUACUCAGGAGGCUGAGGCAGGAGAAUCACUUGAACCCGGGAGGUGGAGUUUGUGGUGAGCCAAGAACACACCACUGCACUCCAGCAGCCGGGGCAAUAAGAGUGAAACUCCAUCUCAAAAAAAAAAAAGAAAGAAAAGAAAAUGGAUAUUCCUUUCCAUUGAGGAAGAUGGUUCAGAGAGAUUAACUUGACUUGUCCAAAGUCACAAACCUAGUAUAUGAUCCUGGAACUGAGACUCAGAGGCAGGCAGUGUUCUACACUGAAAAGAGCAUAGGGAAUGGCAAGAUUCCACAAGCUGGCAAGCUUGUAGUGAGAGAUACACAUGCACUGUUGGUGUAAAAUUGCUAAACAUCUCUAGUGAGCAGUUUUGCAAUGUAUUUUAAGUGACUAUCCCCUUUGAUCUAGCAAAUCCACUUACAUAUUACCUAUUUUAACUCGCAGAUAUUUCCAGGCCUAUGUGUGAGAAUAUUAAGUUCAAUAUUGUUGAAAUAACAAUAGAUUGAGAGCUAGUUAAUAAAUUAUAUUGCAUAUACCCAUUUAAUAAAAUACUAUACAAUUAUUAAAGAGUCUACUCUUUAUGGACUGAUAGGAUCAGAUCCAAACCAUAUUAAUAAAAUUAGCAAAGUACAGAACUGUGUAUGUAUUUUUUUAAUCAUUUGCCUUUAAAAAGAAAAUUUAUA